GACGAACGCUGGCGGCGUGCUUAACACAUGCAAGUCGAACGAUGAAGAAAAGAAUCGAAGCUUCGGCAGAAAUUCAUUUCGGAUUAUUGGCAGACGGGUGAGUAACGUGUGAGCAACCUACCUCUUACAAAGGGAUAGCCUCGGGAAACCGGGAUUAAUACCAUAUAACAUUGCGACGAAGCAUUUCGAUGCAAUCAAAGCUACGGCGGUAAGAGAUGGGCUCGCGUCCCAUUAACCGGAUGGUGAGGUAACGGCUCACCAUAGUGACGAUGGGUAACCGGCCUGAGAGGGUGAACGGUCACACUGGAACUGAGACACGGUCCAGACUCCUACGGGAGGCAGCAGUGGGGAAUAUUGCACAAUGGAGGGAACUCUGAUGCAGCGACGCCGCGUGAGUGAUGAAGGAAUUCGUUGCGGAAAACUCUGUUCUAUGGGAAGAAAAGGACUGUACCAUAGGAGAAAGCUCCGGCUAAGUACGUG
rnacentral:rRNA from 1 species